rnacentral:rRNA from 1 species
GUUGUCCGGAUUUACUGGGCGUAAAGCGCGCGCCGGCGGUCGUUCAAGUCGAGUGUGAAAGCCCCCGGCUCAACUGGGGAGGGUCACUCGAUACUGAUCGACUUGAAGGCAGGAGAGGGAAGCGGAAUUCCCGGUGUAGUGGUGAAAUGCGUAGAUAUCAGGAGGAACACCUGCGGUGUAGACGGCUUACUGGACCAUCACUGACGCUGAGGCACGAAAGCGUGGGUAGCAAACAGG